AUGGUGCUGCUGUCGCCGGUGAGCCGGGCUGCCGCGGCAAUGUACAACUCCAGCGCCCGGCACGACAUCAUCAUCAACAACGUCACGGUGUGCACCACCCCGGCUGCCACGCUGGUGGCCAGCUUCACGGUGUCCGCCGACAUGCGCACCACCGAGCGGCUCAUGGUCACCACCACGGUCCUCAUGACCUUGCUCGGCACCGCCCUCUUCCUCCUUGGAGUCUCGGGACGCCUCUCGGGCCGGGGCCGCGGCCACUCUACCGCCACCCGCAUCUUCUUCCGCGCCUCCUUCGCUCUCUUCCUCCCCUUCAUGUCCUACAUGUUCUCCCAGGCCAAGAGCAAGCCACCCGACACCGGCAACCAGCCCCGCGCGCAGCUCAUUCUCCUCUGGAUGAUCCUCGUAGAGCUCCUCCGCAAGAAGGUGUACGCCAUGGUUGCCCCCGCCACUGAUGCCUUCGCGCGUGGCGUCGGCCGCUACAGCUUCUUUGAUGCUGUCGAGGAGGCUGCACGCAUGGCGUGGAUUGGGUACCUCAUCUACACCUAUGUGCAUGGCUUUGGCGUCAAGUCAUUCUUCAUCAUCCUCUGGAUCUUCAGCGUCGUCAAGAUGUGCAAGCGCUCCAUGUGCAUCUACCUUGCUAAGCGCUCCUUCGACCUCGCGAAGAAUGCUGCCCUCGUCUCCGGCUACAUGGUGCAGCUCGUCGACAAGGGCCGACAAUUGCUCCACGAUGACGAACAUGCAGUUGGCGCUGGUAUCAUGAGGGCUUGCAACUACGCGGUCAUGGGAGAGAGACGGCUCAAGAGGGAGGUGACGCCCCAUGGCUUCAAGAUUCAAGAAGAAGAAAUGAACAAAAUUCUCCUUGGAGAUGGAAGUCCAAAUGGGAAGGAAGAGGCCAACAAGUCCGAGUUGGUCCGGGUAUGUAACAUAUGGGACCUUGCCAAUAGUGACCCCAUCUUCAGGUACAAUUUGAGCAGGAAGCACAAGUUGGAGAACAUUUGCCUUGCCAUCGCACUCUUCAAGUUGCUCCGACGAAAGAUGGAGCACUUCCACAUGGCAGAGGCAGACACCCCACAAGCACGCGAUCUAGUCCUCCGGGGCCUUCUCGCCCUCGAGGGGCACGAGGACGAGGUUGCCAAUGCUGAGAGGGCUUUCCAGGUGGUGGAACUAGAGCUGAGGUUUCUCGACGAGUACUACCAGGCCAUCAUCCCGUUGGCAUUGUCCAAGCCGGGGCUAUUCAUAGCCAACUUCAUCAUCUCCAUCGUCUUCAUCUUUUUGUACUGCAUCACCGUGCUCCUCGUCACAGGCAAUGGCCACAUCUUCAAGGUGAUAGUCUCCCUCUUUCGGGGGCUCAUCGGCCUGUCCAUCGACAUGGUGGUGCAGUACAAGUGCUUCGUCCACCAAGUGAACUUCCUCUUCGGCAUGUAUGUGCUCUCUGAUUGGUUCAUUGUGUCCGUAAUGUACACCUAUGCCCGAAAGACAAUGCUCCAGCAGAAGGGGCAUGCCGGGAGGGUCAUCAAGGGCACCCUAUGGGCGAAGCACCGCUCUCACGCCGUCAUCAAGGUCCACCAGAUCACCAUGAUCAAGCUCCACUACCUCGACCCGCAUUGGGUGUGGAUGCUCGUUUCCCGCCUGCUCAAGAGGCGCCUCGUCGGGCUCCCCGAUGCCAUCGUCACCGGUGACACAAAGGUGGCCAUCGUCAAGGCGUUGAAGGACGUCCUCACCCCAAGCUGCGGCAGACACUUCAGCAACGGCAUGGCUACGUUGGAAAGGCAACGCUUCCUUAACCUCAAGUGGGCGUGCGACCCCAAGAUGAGCACCGCAACAAUGAUAGUGGUGUGGCACAUCGCGACAGCCCUAUUUGAGAUGAGGGACAAACAGAAGCACCCUCUACCACCACAUGGCCAGGCUGCCCUGACGUUGUCGAGGUACUGUGCAUACUUGGUGGCCUACGAGCCGGGGCUCCUCCCGGACAAUGAGGCAUGGACAAAGAAGGUGUACAAGGACAUCAAGGGGGAGCUCAGCAGUUUCUUCCAGAGCUGUUGCAACACUGGUGACCGCCGUGAGCGUCUGGUGAAGUUCGGUCAAGGAGAAGAGGACGAGGAGAAGUCGGCCAUGGUGAAGGGUGUCAAGCUGGGGAAGCAGUUGGAGGCCACUAGCAGUAGCGGUGGUGACUUGCUUGAGGACGAGAGGGUGUGGGGGAUGCUACUCGAGUUCUGGGCAGAACUUCUCGUGCUCGUGGCACGCAGGCCAUCGGCGGGCCCGGAGGCGCAUGCGCUGACGCUGAGCAACGGCGGCGAGUUCAUCACCCACAUCUGGGCCAUGCUCACCCACGCCGGCGUGCAUGUCCCCAAGAACCACCAGGAUUAUCAGGUUCCAUCGUGCAACUGUCAUCCAGUUUGA
rnacentral:rRNA from 1 species